UGGGGAAUAUUGGGCAAUGGGGGAAACCCUGACCCAGCAACGCCGCGUGAAGGAAGAAGGCCUUCGGGUUGUAAACUUCUUUUACCAGGGACGAAGGACGUGACGGUACCUGGAGAAAAAGCAACGGCUAACUACGUGCCAGCAGCCGCGGUAAUACGUAGGUUGCGAGCGUUGUCCGGAUUUACUGGGCGUAAAGGGCGUGUAGGCGGAGAAGCAAGUUGGGAGUGAAAUCUAUGGGCUCAACCCAUAAACUGCUCUCAAAACUGUUUCCCUUGAGUAUCGGAGAGGCAAGCGGAAUUCCUAGUGUAGCGGUGAAAUGCGUAGAUAUUAGGAGGAACACCAGUGGCGAAGGCGGCUUGCUGGACGACAACUGACGCUGAGGCGCGAAAGCGUGGGGAGCAAACAGGAUUAGAUACCC
rnacentral:rRNA from 1 species